rnacentral:rRNA from 1 species
GAUGAACGCUGGCGGCGUGCCUAAUACAUGCAAGUCGAGCGAACAGACGAGGAGCUUGCUCCUCUGACGUUAGCGGCGGACGGGUGAGUAACACGUGGAUAACCUACCUAUAAGACUGGGAUAACUUCGGGAAACCGGAGCUAAUACCGGAUAAUAUAUUGAACCGCAUGGUUCAAUAGUGAAAGACGGUUUUGCCGUCACUUAUAGAUGGAUCCGCGCCGCAUUAGCUAGUUGGUAAGGUAACGGCUUACCAAGGCAACGAUGCGUAGCCGACCUGAGAGAGUGAUCGGCCACACUGGAACUGGGCCACGGUCCAGACUCCUACAGGAGGCAGCAGUAGGGAAUCUUCCGCAAUGGACGAAAGCUUGACGGAGCAACGCCGCGUGAGUUAUGAAGGUCUUCGGAUCGUAAAACUCUGUUAUUAGGGAAAAACAAAUAUGUAAUUAACUAUGCGCGUCUUGACGGUACCUAAUCAGAAAGCCACGGCUAACUACGUG